GUUGAACGCUGGCGGCAUGCCUUACACAUGCAAGUCGAACGGCAGCACGGGGGCAACCCUGGUGGCGAGUGGCGAACGGGUGAGUAAUACAUCGGAACGUGCCCAGUAGUGGGGGAUAGCCCGGCGAAAGCCGGAUUAAUACCGCAUACGACCUACGGGUGAAAGCGGGGGAUCGCAAGACCUCGUGCUACCGGAGCGGCCGAUGUCAGAUUAGGUUGUUGGUGGGGUAAAAGCCUACCAAAGCCGACGAUCUGUAGCUGGUCUGAGAGAACGACCAGCCACACUGGGACUGAGACACGGCCCAGACUCCUACGGGAGGCAGC
rnacentral:rRNA from 1 species